UACGUAGGGUGCGAGCGUUGUCCGGAAUUAUUGGGCGUAAAGAGCUCGUAGGCGGUCUGUCGCGUCGAAUGUGAAAACCCGGGGCUCAACUCCGGGCUUGCAUUCGAUACGGGCAGGCUAGAGUUCGGUGAGGGAGUCGUGGAAUUCCUGGUGUAGCGGUGGAAAUGACGCAGAGUAUCAGGAGGAACACCGGUGGCGAAGGCGGGACUCUGGGCCGAUACUGACGCUGGAGGAGCGAAAGCGUGGGGAGCGAACAGG
rnacentral:rRNA from 1 species